AACUAACGCUAGCGGCGUGCCUAACACAUGCAAGUCGUACGAGAAAGUUCCCUUCGGGGGAUGAGUACAGUGGCGCACGGGUGAGUAACGCGUGGAUAAUCUGCCCUUCAGACAGGAAUAACCCACCGAAAGGUGGGCUAAUACCGGAUAAUACUGACGUGCCUCGGCAUAUCAGUCAAAGAUGGCCUCUCCAUGGAAGCUGUCGCUGAAGGAUGAGUCCGCGUACCAUUAGCUAGUUGGUAGGGUAAUGGCCUACCAAGGUGACGAUGGUUAGCUGGUCUGAGAGGACGACCAGCCACACUGGAACUGAGACACGGUCCAGACUCCUACGGGAGGCAGCAGUGAGGAAUAUUGCGCAAUGGGGGAAACCCUGACGCAGCAACGCCGCGUGAGUGAGGAAGGUCUUCGGAUCGUAAAGCUCUGUCAGAUGGGAAGAAUGCUGAGAAGUUAACAGCUUCGAUGCUUGACGGUACCAUCAGAGGAAGCACCGGCAAACUCCGUGCCAGCAGCCGCGGUAAUACGGGGGGUGCAAGCGUUGUUCGGAAUCAUUGGGCGUAAAGCGCGUGUAGGCGGCCGGAUAUGUCAGAUGUGAAAGCCCCGGGCUCAACCCGGGAAGUGCAUUUGAAACUGCCUGGCUGGAGUAAGAGAGAGGAAAGUGGAAUUCCUGGUGUAGAGGUGAAAUUCGUAGAUAUCAGGAGGAACACCGGUGGCGAAGGCGGCUUUCUGGCUCUAUACUGACGCUGAGACGCGAAAGCGUGGGUAGCAAACA
rnacentral:rRNA from 1 species